GGUGCGAAGUGCCAGGGCACAGAAUAGAGGCUCCAGAAGAUCCUUGGACCCUUUCUCUGAGGCCGUGUACGAGGAGAUUGAUUAUAACCUGAUGAGAAAGAAGCAGGAGAUGUUUGAUCGCUCAGUCUCCUAUUCAGAUGACUCAGUGACGAAGCUGCAGUAUUACACCGGAGACAGCGAGGGGGAAAAUGAUCCUGGAUCAGAACAAG